rnacentral:rRNA from 1 species
UUCGAGUGAAAUGGAUUUCCGCCUAAAGAGAAGCUUGCGGCUGAUUAGCUUGUUGGUAGGGUAAUGGCCUACCAAGGCGACGAUCAGUAUCUGGUUUGAGAGGACGAUCAGACACACUGGAACUGAGACACGGUCCAGACUCCUACGGGAGGCAGCAGUAGGGAAUUUUCCGCAAUGGGCGAAAGCCUGACGGAGCAAUACCGCGUGAGGGAUGACUGCCUAUGGGUUGUAAACCUCUUUUUUCAGGGAGGAAUAAAUGACGUGUACCUGAAGAAUAAGCAUCGGCUAACUCCGUGCCAGCAGCCGCGGUAAGACGGAGGAUGCAAGUGUUAUCCGGAAUCACUGGGCGUAAAGCGUCUGUAGGUGGCUCGACAAGUCAACUGUUAAAUCUUGAAGCUCAACUUCAAAAUCGCAGUCGAAACUAUCGGACUAGAGUAUAGUAGAGGUAAAGGGAAUUUCCAGUGGAGCGGUGAAAUGCGUAGAGAUUGGAAAGAACACC